rnacentral:rRNA from 1 species
AGAGUUUGAUCCUGGCUCAGAUUGAACGCUGGCGGCAUGCCUUACACUUGCAAGUCGAACGGCAGCGCGGGAGCAAUCCUGGCGGCGAGUGGCGAACGGGUGAGUAAUAUAUCGGAACGUGCCUUAGAGUGGGGGAUAACUAGUCGAAAGACUAGCUAAUACCGCAUACGACCUACGGGUGAAAGUGGGGGAUCGCAAGACCUCAUGCUCUUAGAGCGGCCGAUAUCUGAUUAGCUAGUUGGUGGGGUAAAAGCCUACCAAGGCGACGAUCAGUAGCUGGUCUGAGAGGACGACCAGCCACACUGGGACUGAGACACGGCCCAGACUCCUACGGGAGGCAGCAGUGGGGAAUUUUGGACAAUGGGGGCAACCCUGAUCCAGCAAUGCCGCGUGUGUGAAGAAGGCCUUCGUAUUGUAAAGCACUUUUGUUCGGAAAGAAAUCGCCCAUGCUAAUACCUGGGGUGGAU